rnacentral:rRNA from 1 species
CAGCACCUCAAGUGGUCAGGAUGAUUAUUGGGCCUAAAUCAUCCGCAGCCGGCGCUGUAAGUUUUCGGUUAAAUCUGUACGCUCAACGUACAGGCUGCCGGGAAUACUGCAGAGCUAGGGAGUGGGAGAGGUAGACGGUACUCAGUAGGAAGGGGUAAAAUCCUUUGAUCUAUUGAUGACCACCUGUGGCGAAGGCGGUCUACCAGAACACGUCCGACGGUGAGGGAUGAAAGCUGGGGGAGCAAACCGGAUUAGAUACCCGAGUAGUCC